CUUCGGACUCCAUGUCCCUCAUGAGACGGGACAUCCUGAUCCUUGCUCCAGGGGGCUCUACACCGCCCCGGAUUCAGGCUCAGUGGCCCAUCCGCGGGGUUCGCUUCUUCGCGUGCUGCAGGAUCAGGGUCGCGGCCUGGGAAGCAGGACAACUGCUGACAUUUUCUUAAAUCAUCCCUGCUUCGUUGCCAUCCCAAAGCAUCAUCAUAGAGGGGAACUGUAGAGAGAUUGGCGUCGUUCAGUGUGUGGACUAACACGGAAUCCCUUUGGAAAAUUAUAGGAGACAAAUAAAGGCCUGCUCAAAUGGAAUAAUCGUGAGAUCGAUCUUAUGUAUAAAACAUGUUGAUUUCUGUGAAUAACUCAGUCUAGUCUGCUCAUUAGCCUCUUGGUAAUGACAUUGCAGGGAAUUUGUUUUUUCUUUUUCUCAUUACGUCAUUUACUUCUACUGCUACUUUGAAAUUUUCAUCAUAGCAAGUAAAGCAUUUGCUUAAGGUUGAAAGGAAGAGUGUGCCAGGAUCUGUUAACAGUGGUGAAGUAAGUGCAUUGACCAAGAAUUUAG
rnacentral:lncRNA from 1 species